rfam:Salmo salar isolate Sally breed double haploid chromosome ssa03, whole genome shotgun sequence.
ACGAGCUGUUGUGUGAUUUAGGUAGUUUCAAGUUGUUGGGCUGGACGUGUAUCACAGGAACCUGAAACUACCUGAAUUACUCCAGUACUG